UCAACCUUACAGGUAGAGGAAUGUUACAAAUCAGUCUUUCCACAAGCUAUCUGCCAAGUACUAUGGUCCAUUACAAGUCAUCAAAAGGGUGGGUCCUGUAGCCUAUACUCUCCUAUUUCCAGAUUCUGUGAAGAUUCAUCCUACUGUGUGUUGACACCCAAUUUUGUCCCUCAUUUAUUUCAAUUUAUUUACUCGGGCUUCUAAAUUUAUUGACGAGCUGAACACUUUAUUUUCACUAUUACUAAUUUUCACUACUUUACCAUCAACAUCACGAGCAUUACUUUAUCACCAAUUUUUAAAUAUUCGUCAUCGUUUCAUUUUUUUCGGGUUUAGAAUCGUUAAAUUAAUUACAAGACAACACUUUGUUAAAUCCUUAUUUUCUACAUAUUAAUUAUUAAUUGUCUUCACAUAGUAUAUAUUGUACUAGUUAUUAAAUUAGAAACCCAAGAAUAAUUAAAUAGAGGAGGAAGAAUCAACAAUUUUCAUCUCAUAAGCAAUUGCUCGAAAGUAUAUCAAUAUUGGACUCAUUUUGAAGCUCGUAUUUUAAAACGACGUGUUAUAAUUUUUAUUUUGUCAAAAUAUUAUUUUACAAAGGACAAAUUCCUGAUAAUGUUAUUUACCCAAAAAAGAAAAAGAAAAAAAAAAGAAGGAAAGUAAAGAGAGAGAUAAGAGGAAUUGGUGCGGUGAACUUGGAAUAAGAAGGAAUGAAAAAGAAAGAGGAAUAAUUAAACAUCUUUGCACUUCUUUUUCUUUUUCCUUCUUUUGCGCUCAUCUCUCCCUUUCCCCUCUUCUUCUUUCUUCCACCUCCUUCAUCGUCUUCUUCUUUUUCUCUUCUUCUUCUUCUUCUUCUUCUGCCUCCUUCAUCAUCCCUCCACUCACUUCUGUUCCCCACCACGUCUGUCUCUCCACUUCCCCUUGUCCCCCACGCUUAUUCCUCGCUUCGUCUCUCUCAUACACUCCUCCUUUUACUUUAAUACAAAUGAAACCUUAUAAAUAAAACGGGAGUUAAUCCAGAAGGGGAGAGGAUUUUCAGUUUUUGGGGAGGGAACUGAGCAUCGUUUUAGAAAAAUAGGGAUUUUUGUUGAGCAAGAAACCUAAGAAACUUGGACAAAAGAUCUGGAAUCUACAAAUUUUCCUUACAAAAACACAGUUACUUUAAUCGGGUUCGUUCGAGUUCGAGUAGAGAUCCGAGAUUCAUACCCCGUUCACUGCACCUACAAAAGGUAUGCAUUUGCAUCGGAGUACAACAAAUCACGAUGAUCAAGGGCAUCACAAAUAGAGCUAGAAGUUAGGCAUAGAAAUUGUAUUUACUUUGUUUAGAUUAGGAAACACUUUAUGCUGUAUUCAUUUGACAUGUAAUAAAUAUUACAUUAUUUUGUACUUUA